AAUUGCAAUGUCGACCACAUCAACAUAUAUUAAACUGAUGGUCGUCCUCACCCUGAUUGCAUGUUCACUUGUGUGGGGAUCUGAGAGUUCCGUCCGGUUGGAGCCAAUGUCCUCAUCAAGUUUUAAGACUUGCAAGGUUACUCUCGGGUUUUGCAACCGCGAUUGUCUCACUGGAUGUUGUGGCAAAAGGUGUUCGAAACAGUUCAAAAAUGGCACAGGAAAAUGUAUGGAACCAAUGCUACCUACGGCACCGUGUUUGUGCCAAUACACUUGUUAGAAUGUAAUCCACCUAUUUGUGUUUUCUACA